rnacentral:tRNA from 1 species
UGGACACCCCUUCAUUUACUUUCAGAAAGUAGUUUAACAAAAAUAAAAGCCUUGGGAGCUUUAG